UUGGGUGAUCGAUGGGACUGGGCGCCGUGGAGCAGGGGGCAGGCAUUCGUCGGGGAGGCUCGGGCUGCACAGGAACCCACGGAGGCGGGGGAAGGCUCAGGCAUGGCGGGCUGCGGUCCCGAGGCCUGCCCCGUGGGAAGGCAGCUAAGGCCCGGCGAGAAAUCGAGCGCAGCGCCGGUGGGCUGGCACUGCUGGGGGACGCAGUACACCCUCCGCAGCCGCUGGCCCGGGUGCUAAGCCCCUCACUGCCCGGGGCCGGCAGAGCCGGCCGGCCGCUCCGAGCGCGGGGCCCGCCAAGCCCACGCCCACCCGGAACUCCAGCUGGCCCGCAAGCGCUGCUCGCAGCCCCGGUUCCUGCUCGCGCCUCUCCCUCCACACCUCCCUGCAAGCUGAGGGAGCCGGCUCUGGCCUUGGCCAGCCCAGAAAGGGGCUCCCACAGUGCAGCGGCGGGCCGAAGGGCUCCUCAAGUGCCGCCAAAGUGGGAACCCAGGCAGAGGAAGCGCCGAGAGCAAGAGAGGGCUCUGAGGACUGCCAGCACACUGUCACCUCUCACUCCCACUUCGGCCUCCCAAAGUGCUUGGAUGACUGGCAUGAGCCACUGUGCCCGGCUCAGAAUUUCUUUUUGGGGUGAUGAAAAUGCUCAAAGUUAGAUUACGGUGAUGGUUGCGCGCCUCUGUGAAUAUACUCAAAAGCCUUGAAAACAAAAGUUGAGGUGCUACAAACUAAAGGAUCUAAUCGCAGUCACAGAACAGUUGCCCAUGCUUAGUGGCAAGAGGCUGUAUCCUGAGGACUUUUGUGUUUCCAGAUUUCUCCAAAGGAGAAUUACAGUUUGGCAGGUGGAAUGAGGGUCAGGUAGAAAAGGCUGACGAUGCAACUAACUUUAAGGAGGGGGAGGACAAAGGGUGAAGACCAGGUCAGUGUGGAGAAAGGGAGGUUGUAGGAUGUUAGUGCUUCAGAGGAAAACAACAACGAGCUUUUCUCUCCUCUCUGGGGAUCCUGGUCAGCUUCACAUUGGUGGCCCAGAAAUCAGUCUCAGCCCCUCCCAGUAUGGACCGCUCCUUGACAGCCGCCCUCUCUCCUAUAAAGGCAGAUGCAAGCUACGUUUGUGUGGGGAUGACACAGCACAAAGGCCCUUGCCAGAUGUGAGCCCCUUGAUAUUGGAUUUCCCAGUCUUCAGAACUGUCGAAAAGCCCAGGAAUGUUCUAGAAUAUAUGAUUGGCGAGGACCCUCACUGGUGCCAUCCACAUCUUCUCUUCAGGACUGGGAACGUUGGCAGCUGAUGAUCCUCUGGGAAGUUCCUUGGUCGGAUCCCAGGGUGCUCACCAAUCCACCCCCGGCACUCAAAUCUCCAUCUCACAAGCUAUGUGACAGGGACCCUGACUACAACAAUGGACAAAACAUUUUGGCCAGGCGUGGUGGCUCAUGCCUGUAAACCUAGCACUUUGGGAGGCUGAGGCAGACAGAUCACUUGAGGUGACUGCACUCCAGCCUGGCGUGAUCUUUUUUUAAAUUUUGACUCUAUCUCAAAAUUAAAAAAAAUUUUUUUUUUGCCUGGGGGAACCAUAUUACUCUAUCUUUCUCAUGCCCCUACUGAGAAUCAAACUGCCCCUCGUUUUUAUUUUUAUUUUAAUUUUUUAAGACAAGGUCUCCAUCUGUCACCCAGGCUGGAGUGCAGUGGUACAAUCAGGGUUCACUGCAGCCUCAAUCUCCUGGGCUCAAGUGAUCCACCCUCCUCAGCCUCCCAAGCAGCUGGCAUCACAGGUGUGCACCACUGUGCCUGGCCCAAACUUCUCUUAAAUUCAUUUUCCUUAUGGAACAACAACAGCAACAACAACAACAAAAACUUUUGAGAGAAAGUUAGGAGUUACAUCCCACCAAGAGAGCUGCCUUCAGAAAAUAUCAAUUGUUAGGCAAUUUCACAGUAUUCAGUGUCUUCUUCAAACUUAAAAAAAAUUAUACAAAUUAUUUUUAAAAUAUAGAGAUGGGGUCUAUGUUACCCAGGCUGGUCACAUCUUCUUUAAACUUGUUUGACAUUUUUUCUGACCCUCUCAAACAGUUAACUGUUAUUUAUAAUAAUUAAUUGGAAGCGAAUAAAGGGCAAGUAUUGGAUAA